GCUAGAGUAGCACAACUGGUUAGAACAUGUGCCAUCUAAAGCACAAGAUCAAAGGUUCAUGCCCUUCCUCUAACA